AGCGGGGGGAGCAAACAGGAUUAGCUACCCUGGGACUCCACGCCCCUCCACGAUGUCUGGUGGUUGUCGGGGUCUUAACUGCCUUGGUAACGCAGCUAACGCAUGAAGUAGACCCCCUGGGGAAUACUGUCGCAAGAUUAAAACUCAAAGGAAGUGACGGGGACCCGCACAAUCGGUGGAUGAUGUGGAUUAAUUCGAUGCAACUCGAAAAACCUUACCUACCCUUGACAUGGUCAGAAUCUUUGAGAGAUCAGAGAGUGCUCGCAAGAGAACUGAUACACCGGUGCUGCAUGGCUGUCGUCAGCUCGUGUCGUUAGAUGUUGGGUUAAGUCCUGCAACGAGCGCAACCCUUGUCAUUAAUUUCCAUCAUUUAUUUGGGCACUUUAAUGAGACUGCCGGUGACAAACCGGAUGAAGGUGGGGACGACGUCAAGUCCUCAUGGCCCUUAUGGGUAGGGUUUCACACGUCAUACAAUGGUACAUACAGAGGGUCGCCAAUCCGCGAGGUGGAGCUAAUCCCAGAAAGUGUAUAAUAUUCCGGAUUGUAGUCUGCAACUUCACUGCAUGAAGUUGGAAUCGAUAGUAAUCGCGGAUCAGCAUGUCCCGGUGAAUACGUUCCCGGUUCUUCACACUCCGCCCGACACACCCUGGGAGGGGGUUU
rnacentral:rRNA from 1 species